rnacentral:rRNA from 1 species
UACGAAGGGUGCAAGCGUUACUCGGAAUUACUGGGCGUAAAGGGCGCGUAGGCGGUUUGCUAAGUUGGAUGUGAAAACUCUGGGCUUAACCCAGAGCCUGCAUCCAAAACUGGCUGACUUGAGUACUGGAGGGGAAAGCGGAAUUCCUGGUGUAGCGGUGAAAUGCGUAGAUAUCAGGAGGAACACCGGUGGUGUAGACGGCUUUCUGGACAAUCACUGACGCUGAGGUACGAAAGCGUGGGUAGCAAACAGG